rnacentral:rRNA from 1 species
GAUGAACGCUGGCGGCGUGCCUAAUACAUGCAAGUCGAGCGAACGGACGAGAAGCUUGCUUCUCUGAUGUUAGCGGCGGACGGGUGAGUAACACGUGGAUAACCUACCUAUAAGACUGGGAUAACUUCGGGAAACCGGAGCUAAUACCGGAUAAUAUUUUGAACCGCAUGGUUCAAAAGUAAAAGACGGUCUUGCUGUCACUUAUAGAUGGAUCCGCGCUGCAUUAGCUAGUUGGUAAGGUAACGGCUUACCAAGGCAACGAUGCAUAGCCGACCUGAGAGGGUGAUCGGCCACACUGGAACUGAGACACGGUCCAGACUCCUACGGGAGGCAGCAGUAGGGAAUCUUCCGCAAUGGGCGAAAGCCUGACGGAGCAACGCCGCGUGAGUGAUGAAGGUCUUCGGAUCGUAAAACUCUGUUAUUAGGGAAGAACAUAUGUGUAAGUAACUGUGCACAUCUUGACGGUACCUAAUCAGGAAGCCCACGGCUAACUACGUGCCAGCAGCCGCCGGUAUACGUAGGUGGCAAGCGUUAUCCGGAAUUAUGGGGCGUAAAGCGCGCGUAGCGGUUUUUUAGUCUGAUGUGAAAGCCCACGGCUCAACCGUGGAGGGUCAUUGGAAACUGGAAAACUUGAGUGCAGAAGAGGAAAGUGGAAUUCCAUGUGUAGCGGUGAAAUGCGCAGAGAUAUGGAGGAACACCAGUGGCGAAGGCGACUUUCUGGUCUGUAACUGACGCUGAUGUGCGAAAGCGUGGGGAUCAAACAGGAUUAGAUACCCUGGUAGUCCACGCCGUAAACGAUGAGUGCUAAGUGUUAGGGGGUUUCCGCCCCUUAGUGCUGCAGCUAACGCAUUAAGCACUCCGCCUGGGGAGUACGACCGCAAGGUUGAAACUCAAAGGAAUUGACGGGGACCCGCACAAGCGGUGGAGCAUGUGGUUUAAUUCGAAGCAACGCGAAGAACCUUACCAAAUCUUGACAUCCUUUGACAACUCUAGAGAUAGAGCCUUCCCCUUCGGGGGACAAAGUGACAGGUGGUGCAUGGUUGUCGUCAGCUCGUGUCGUGAGAUGUUGGGUUAAGUCCCGCAACGAGCGCAACCCUUAAGCUUAGUUGCCAUCAUUAAGUUGGGCACUCUAAGUUGACUGCCGGUGACAAACCGGAGGAAGGUGGGGAUGACGUCAAAUCAUCAUGCCCCUUAUGAUUUGGGCUACACACGUGCUACAAUGGACAAUACAAAGGGCAGCGAAACCGCGAGGUCAAGCAAAUCCCAUAAAGUUGUUCUCAGUUCGGAUUGUAGUCUGCAACUCGACUACAUGAAGCUGGAAUCGCUAGUAAUCGUAGAUCAGCAUGCUACGGUGAAUACGUUCCCGGGUCU